rnacentral:rRNA from 1 species
GACGAACGCUGGCGGCGUGCUUAACACAUGCAAGUCGAACGGAAAGGCCCUGCUUUUGUGGGGUGCUCGAGUGGCGAACGGGUGAGUAACACGUGAGUAACCUGCCCUUGACUUUGGGAUAACUUCAGGAAACUGGGGCUAAUACCGGAUAGGAGCUCCUGCUGCAUGGUGUGGGUUGGAAAGUUUCGGCGGUUGGGGAUGGAUUCGCUGCUUAUCAGCUUGUUGGUGUGGUAGUGGCUUACCAAGGCUGUGACGGGUAGCCGGCCUGAGAGCGGUACCGGCGACAAGAGGACUGAGAUAGGGACCAGUCGCGAACGGGAGGCAGCAGGGGGGAGUAUGGCACAAUGGGCGGAAGUCUGAUGCAGCAACGCCGCGUGCGGGAUGACGUCCUUCGGGUGGUAAACCGAUUUCGCCUGUGACGAAGCGUGAGUGACGGUAAUGGGUAAAGAAGCACCGGCUAACUACGUG